rnacentral:lncRNA from 1 species
UGCCAGUCUCCUCCGGGAAGGGCCUCUCUUUCCAUUCCUACAGCUCCCCCUCCUCGAGACCCCGGGAGGCCCAGCCUCCCCAAUCCGAGCCCCCCCCCCAGCUCCGAAGACCCCCGCGGAGCAAGGAAGAGGCCUCCGCAGAAUGAAUGCCUGGAAAAGAGGUUUUAAAUCUGUCUGCACCCCAAGGAAAAGGCCUCACUCAGAGCAGCGUCCCUGCCUCACCUCGUCUAACAAGCCUCUACCUUCCCGGUGGGCACUGCCGCUCACCGCCCUAGGCCGGGUCCACCGGGACAGUUGGGCGGAGGCAACUAGCACUGCUGUGGAAUUGUUCAUUCUUGAGGAACUCAGGAGAAGACACAAAGAGGCUAGAGACCGGGCUCUGUCCAGGUCAUAGCCCCUCACAGAGCAAGGACAUGGCAAGAUGUAAAGAGCAUAGGAAGGUCUUGAGUGGGGACAAAAAAAAUGUGCCAUCAAUAUUAAAAUCACACCAAGAGAACAUCCCCUUGGCUGGAGACAAUUCAAAGAGCCUCCCCUGGGAGAGGUCAUCCUAUCAUGGUCCUUGGUGGGAAAUGGCUGAAGAUAAACCUUCAUGGAGUCCAAAGUACAGGAAGGAAGUGACAAAGGACAGAAAGGAAGCAGAAGACACUGAGAAUCUACACCAAGGGAAGGGGCCCCAGGAACUGGAGGAAGGAGCAGAAAUGGAAGGAUCAAGGUACCACAAAGCCACCAUGUCACCUGGGAGCAGGAGAGUGGUCCUCACUCAGUGCGGCCCACACUGAACUGCACAAGAGUCUGUGGAUGAGGUAGGUGAGGUCCCCGCCCACAUAGUGCUUCUAAUCUAAUAUGGCAGACAGACCGAGUCCUCAAAUAAGAGAGAUCCGUGGAAAAGGACCUGCAAAGGGUGGUCAGGGAUCAAGGGAAGGAGAAAUUAUGUUCUGGAAGAGGAGACAGAAUUUGUAUCAGGCCUUGGGAGUGAUGGAAAUGGGAAGAAAGGCCCACCAGGGGCAUGAAGUUCCUGAGCUAAGGCACAGAGAAAGAUUUCAGAAAAUCUUGGACUUGGCAGCAGUGAGGGUAAAUGGGUUAAUGAUCAAUCCAUUCACUAAGGCACCAGACAUCCCCAAGAGGUGCUAGACACUCAGAGCAGGGAAGGAGAAAGAUACAGUCACUGAUCUCAUUGUAGUGGUAGGAAAAAGGUAACAGACCUAUCAACAAAUAAGACUGGCUCAAUUGGAUAGGUGCUCAGAGGACACUAAAGGAAGAUCGUAUUUUAGAAAGUAACUGGGCCUCCUUUAGAUACAAUGUCAAGGAACUAAGGUUCUAAGAAGGGAACAUUUUAGAGGAAGCCUAAAUGGCAAGAAAAAGCCAGCCUCUCCAGGGCAUCCAGACAGAGGCAACAUCCGGUGCAAAGGCCCUGAGGCAGAAGCAGCCCUGCAUAGUCCCACAGGUGGAGGGCAACCAGUGAGUAAAGUAUGUAGGAAGCAAUGAAUGUUCAGGCCCAGUCAUGCAGGACCUGAUAGGCUAUGGUGAAAUGUUGGACUUUAUUUCGAUAGGAAGCCAUGAGAAGACAUUAAAAGAAAGAAUAGGAUGGUCUGUUGUUUAUGAGUCAAAUCUUCCACAGGCCUCUCUGAGGAAAAUGGGAGGUGCAAGAGAGGAAAUAGGAGCCCCAGCAAUAGGCUACCAUGGUAGUUCUGGUAGGAGGCAGCUGGUCAUGGGUGGACACAGCCA